AACGCACCUUGCACCCUUUGGUAUUCCGAAGGGUACACCCGUUUGAGUGUCAUUGUAAUCUCACUUCUACAACUUUUUUGUUGUCGAAUGUGGACUUGGACGUCUGCCGUGUUUCAACGACUCGUCUUAAAUGCCUGAGUGUACCCCGCUUUGCGGCGUAUUCGGUGUGAUAAACAUUUCACCGGAGUUUGGUCUUCUGACCGCGCUUUUGCAAUCGGUGGGCUCUAUGCUUUCCAACCGUCCCUUGUGGACAAAUCUUUGACAAUUUGACCUCAAAUCGGGUGGGACUACCCGCUGAACUUAA
rnacentral:misc_RNA from 1 species